GGAUCACUGUCAGCACGGCCACAGAGCACUCUUCAGUGACACAACGGUAACCGUACCCUAUGGUGGUUUGGGUCUCAAGGGAAAAUAAAAAUGCUGCCGUAAAUGAAUGCACAUUGUCGACGCAAGGAGUGAUAUCCGGAUCGCUUAAGAGGUCUCCGUGAUGGAAAGCUAUGAGCCAGAAUAUGGAGCCAAAUACCAACCAGGAGAGAAUGUAAGACAAAGAAAAGAUGAUAAACAUAUGGCGCCACUUGGUAUCCACAAGAGUGGUGAAAAUAUCAACCAUGUAGCUCCCCCAUUCUCCAAAAAUGUGUUUGAAGUACACAUUACAGCUGCCAUCUUUGUGCAACAGACGCCUCCUUGCUCGUCUCUUCUCAGCUAGCGCAUGCUCCGGAGGAUAGCCUGGAUAUUUGGAGUCCACAUUGACAAUCCGGAUGAAGACUGAGCCUUUGAAACUGCCAUAAUGCUUGCUAGAGAGGAUGCCUCAAAGAUGCUUGCCACCAAGACUGGAUGACUUAACUGGAUUCCUGGGAUACACAGAAUAGAGGGGAAAUACUGACUUCUGCAAGUUGUUCUCUAACUUCCACGUAGCACACAGCACAUGCACAGGCACACAAAUAAGUGUAAGAAAUAAAUUUGAAUUGC